GACGAACGCUGGCGGCGUGCCUAAUACAUGCAAGUCGAACGAAGCUGUUUUAACUGGUGCUUGCACCGACUUAAACAACUGAGUGGCGAACGGGUGAGUAACACGUGGGUAACCUGCCCCAAAGCGGGGGAUAACAUUUGGAAACAGAUGCUAAUACCGCAUAACCACAGAAACCACAUGGUUUCUGUGUGAAAGAUGGUUUCGGCUAUCACUUUGGGAUGGACCCGCGGCGUAUUAGCUAGUUGGUAAGGUAAUGGCUUACCAAGGCAAUGAGACGUAGCCGAACGGAGCGGUUGAUCGGCCACAUUGGGACUGAGACACGGCCCAAACUCCGACGGGAGGCAGCAGUAGGGAAUCUUCCACAAUGGACGAAAGUCUGAUGGAGCAACGCCGCGUGAGUGAAGAAGGUUUUCGGAUCGUAAAACUCUGUUGUCAGAGAAGAACGUGUGCGAGAGUAACUGUUCGUGCAGUGACGGUAUCUGGCCAGAAAGCCACGGCUAACUACGUGCCAGCCGCCGCCGUAA
rnacentral:rRNA from 1 species